rnacentral:rRNA from 1 species
AGAGUUUGAUCAUGGCUCAGGAUGAACGCUGGCGGCGUGCUUAACACAUGCAAGUCGAACGAUGAUCCGGUGCUUGCACCGGGGAUUAGUGGCGAACGGGUGAGUAACACGUGAGUAACCUGCCCUUAACUCUGGGAUAAGCCUGGGAAACUGGGUCUAAUACCGGAUAUGACUCCUCAUCGCAUGGUGGGGGGUGGAAAGCUUUAUUGUGGUUUUGGAUGGACUCGCGGCCUAUCAGCUUGUUGGUGAGGUAAUGGCUCACCAAGGCGACGACGGGUAGCCGGCCUGAGAGGGUGACCGGCCACACUGGGACUGAGACACGGCCCAGACUCCUACGGGAGGCAGCAGUGGGGAAUAUUGCACAAUGGGCGCAAGCCUGAUGCAGCGACGCCGCGUGAGGGAUGACGGCCUUCGGGUUGUAAACCUCUUUCAGUAGGGAAGAAGCGAAAGUGACGGUACCUGCAGAAGAAGCGCCGGCUAACUACGUGCCAGCAGCCGCGGUA